rnacentral:rRNA from 1 species
CAGUAGCCACGGUAAUACGGAGGGUGCAAGCGUUAAUCGGAAUUACCGGGCGUAAAGCGCACGCAGGCGGUUUGUUAAGUCAGAUGUGAAAUCCCCGAGCUUAACUUGGGAACUGCAUUUGAAACUGGCAAGCUAGAGUCUUGUAGAGGGGGGUAGAAUUCCAGGUGUAGCGGUGAAAUGCGUAGAGAUCUGGAGGAAUACCGGUGGCGAAGGCGGCCCCCUGGACAAAGACUGACGCUCAGGUGCGAAAGCGUGGGGAGCAAACAGGAUUAGAUACCCGUGUAGUCCCUGUCUCUUAUAC